rnacentral:rRNA from 1 species
GACAUAGGUCGCAAACGUUAUCCGGAAUUAUUGGGCGUAAAGGAUGCGUAGCUGGUUCAGUAAGUUACUGGUGGGAAAUCGAGGCCCAACCUCGUGGAAGUUAGUAAUACUGUUGAACUUGAGUGCAGGAGAGGUUAACGGAACUUCAUGUGGAGCGGUAAAAUGCGUAGAUAUAUGAAAGAACAUCAAUAUGGCGAAGGCAGUUAACUAUUCUGCUACUGACAUUGAGGCAUGAAAGCGUGGGGAGCAAAACGG